UUGCACGCUGGCGGCAUGCCUUACACAUGCAAGUCGAACGGUAACGGGCCUUCGGGUGCCGCCGAGUGGCGAACGGGUGAGUAAUACAUCGGAACGUGCCCGAUCGUGGGGGAUAACGAGGCGAAAGCUUUGCUAAUACCGCAUACGAUCUACGGAUGAAAGCAGGGGACCGCAAGGCCUUGCGCGGACGGAGCGGCCGAUGGCAGAUUAGGUAGUUGGUGGGAUAAAAGCUUACCAAGCCGACGAUCUGUAGCUGGUCUGAGAGGAUGAUCAGCCACACUGGGACUGAGACACGGCCCAGACUCCUACGGGAGGCAACAGUGGGGAAUUUUGGACAAUGGGCGCAAGCCUGAUCCAGCCAUGCCGCGUGCAGGAUGAAGGCCUUCGGGUUGUAAACUGCUUUUGUACGGAACGAAAAGCCUUCUUUUAAUACAGGAGGGUCAUGACGGUACCGUAAGAAUAAGCACCGGCUAACUACGUG
rnacentral:rRNA from 1 species